CCUACGGGAUGCAGCAGUGAGGAAUAUUGGUCAAUGGACGCAAGUCUGAACCAGCCAUGCCGCGUGCAGGAAGACGGCUCUAUGAGUUGUAAACUGCUUUUGUACGAGGGUAAACGCAGAUACGCGUAUCUGUCUGAAAGUAUCGUACGAAUAAGGAUCGGCUAACUCCGUGCCAGCAGCCGCGGUAAUACGGAGGAUUCAAGCGUUAUCCGGAUUUAUUGGGGUUAAAGGGUGCGUAGGCGGUCGGAUAAGUUAGAGGUGAAAUCCCGAGGCUCAACUUCGGAAUUGCCUCUGAUACUGUUCGGCGAGAGAGUAGUUGCGGUAGGCGGAAUGUAUGGUGUAGCGGUGAAAUGCUUAGAGAUCAUACAGAACACCGAUUGCGAAGGCAGCUUACCAAGCUACUUCUGACGUUGAGGCACGAAAGCGUGGGGAGCAAACAGGAUUAGAUACCCGGGUAGUC
rnacentral:rRNA from 1 species